UACGGAGGGGACUAGCGUUGUUCGGAAUUACUGGGCGUAAAGCGCACGUAGGCGGAUUUGUAAGUUAGAGGUGAAAGCCCGGAGCUCAACUCCGGAAUUGCCUUUAAGACUGCAUCGCUAGAAUUGUGGAGAGGUGAGUGGAAUUCCGAGUGUAGAGGUGAAAUUCGUAGAUAUUCGGAAGAACACCAGUGGCGAAGGCGACUCACUGGACACAUAUUGACGCUGAGGUGCGAAAGCGUGGGGAGCAAACAGG
rnacentral:rRNA from 1 species